UUUUAACAGGAAAUGCACAAUGCUAAAAACUGCGUAGGAGAUUUUAAUACAAUAGUACUACCAAGCCUGAUGUUGGCCGCUAUUUCAAUGAAUGCAGCAGUGUGACAGCUAGCAAUCAAAAGUAACAAGAUAUCGAGGAAAUGCAGAUGGCAAUAAACUGUGUAGGAGUUCAUGAUUGCAAUAGAAUAAAAUCGACCAAGCUUGAAGUCAGCAGCCCCUUCAAUGAAUGCAGCAGUGUGACAGCCAGCAAUCAAAAGUUACAAGAUAUCGAGGAAAUGCAGAAGGCAAAAAACUGCGUAGGAGAUCAUUAAUACAAAAGUAUUAUAUAAACCAAACCUGAUGUUGCCAGCUCCUUCAAUGAAUGCAGCAGUGUGACAGCCAACAAUCAAAAGUAACAAGAUAUCGAGGAAAUGCAGAAGGCAAAAAACUGCGUAGGAGAUCAUUAAACAAUAGUAUUAUAUAAACCAAACCUGAUGUUGGCCGCUCAUUCAAAGAAUGCAGCAGUGUGACAGCCAGCAAUCAAAAGUAACAAGAUGUCGAGGAAAUGCAGAGUAUAAUAAACUGUGUAGGAGAUUAUGAUUGCAAUAGAAUAAAAUCGACCAAGCCUGAAGUCCUUCAAUGCACGCAGCAGUGUGACAGCCAGCAAUCAAAAGUUACAAGAUAUCGAGGAAAUACAGAAGGCAAAGAAGCAGAUGUCAUCAAAGAAGAUCUUUGUUCCUGCAAUGUUUCCGCAGACGAUACAACCAACAGAGCGAAGUGGAAGGAAAAGACUCGGAAUAAAGACCCCACCACCAUAUGGGAACAAUGCAAGGGAGAGAGAGAGAAUAUAAUGUUAUAUUUUUAUUUUUUGAUAACAUAAAAUAAA